rnacentral:rRNA from 1 species
GGAGCUAACGCGUUAAGUCGACCGCCUGGGGAGUACGGCCGCAAGGUUAAAACUCAAAUGAAUUGACGGGGGCCCGCACAAGCGGUGGAGCAUGUGGUUUAAUUCGAUGCAACGCGAAGAACCUUACCUGGUCUUGACAUCCACGGAAGUUUUCAGAGAUGAGAAUGUGCCUUCGGGAACCGUGAGACAGGUGCUGCAUGGCUGUCGUCAGCUCGUGUUGUGAAAUGUUGGGUUAAGUCCCGCAACGAGCGCAACCCUUAUCCUUUGUUGCCAGCGAUUCGGUCGGGAACUCAAAGGAGACUGCCAGUGAUAAACUGGAGGAAGGUGGGGAUGACGUCAAGUCAUCAUGGCCCUUACGACCAGGGCUACACACGUGCUACAAUGGUGCAUACAAAGAGAAGCGACCUCGCGAGAGCAAGCGGACCUCAUAAAGUGCGUCGUAGUCCGGAUUGGAGUCUGCAACUCGACUCCAUGAAGUCGGAAUCGCUA